rnacentral:tRNA from 1 species
GGUGCUUUUAGUUCAAUGGCAGAACGGCCGGUUGUGGUCCGGAAGAUGAGGGUUCGAAUCCCCAAAGCACCC